CGCGCCGUUAAACUUGGCCCAUCGCUGCUGGCCUCUGCAGCCUCGCCGACUGACCGACUAAGCGGCCUUCAAUUCAGGCUAAAGGGUUGUACGGAAAUUAUAUGUUUCUGUGGGGAUGGGGCGGUGAUGGAGAACGAGAAUGAUUUGAGCAUUCGUGGAAGUAUCUCAGAGCAAUUGAUCCGAGAUGGAAGGAGCGAAGGUGGAGAUGGGUGGCCUUGAGUCAUCACUUAUCCAAAUCAUUCAGGAGCACCAACAAAGAGCUGUCUAUAUCCAAGAUCAAUCUGAUAAGGCGAAGAAAGAUGCUUUAAAAACUGCAGUUCAGGUUUCAGAGCUUCUGGUUGACACUGUUAAUGGAGGAGUGCAGGAAGCCUUCACUACUGAGAAACAUAUUGAAGUUGAAAUCCGUGCAUUGAUCAGUACCAUCAUUCGAUAUAAAAAACAGACAAAUCAAUGGCUUGCUGCAUCUCAUGCACUGAAUUCUGUUUUAAAGGCGAAUCAGAUGCAACCACGUCAGCGGUACCAAACCGCGGCACCGAGCGAAGGGGUGACGUGACACAUUCUGGUUGGUCUCCAUACGACCUUCGACGUCCGCGCAGAAUAAUUAAUCCUCUAAUUGCCUACUCCCUAGUAAAGGAGAUUGGAGACUUCGAGAACUGGAUGAAGACCAUGGAUUUGGAUUGUAAAAGCAUCAAUGCCGCAAUUCGAAAUAUUCAUCAGGCAUGACUUGACCAACCUGAUACACAACCAUUAGUAUUUUAAAAUAUCAUUAAUGUUAUGUUAUUAGCAAUUAUGAACUUGCCAGUGUUAUAAGAUUGAAUUUGUAGUCCUAGAACCAGACUAUCAAUUCUUGUAAAUAGAAGUACUGAUAUGUUGGGAAAAGUUUUUUUUUUAGAUUUCUUGGUGUAGAUCUAACAUAGCAGAGCUAAGGGCAUCUCCAACCGAAAACCACACUUUCCACUGCAAAAUACAGCAAAACUUCAGAAUGCGAUAAUUCUGCUCCAAUCCAACUCCAUUUCGCGGGCAAAUCCUGUUGACACAUAAAAAUUUAGAGGUCGGCGUCGCACUGUUCACCGCGAUGAAAUAAAUGCAAAAUUGCCGCUCGGUUGGAGUGAUGGAACUGUUCCAUUGGAGAUGCCCUAAGCAGGACGCUCUCCAAGCAAUUCUGCUGCUAGGCUAAUCUAAUCUGUAUCAGUCGGUGAAGUUACCUUUUGUUCCAGAACCUAGAUGGAGCUACAUAAAAAUUUCAUAAUGAAGUUCCAUUGAAGUCAGCAUAAGAGGUUAUAAGAAGGCUACAAGCAUUUAAGGAUUGAUUA